GGAGCCGUGUGAUGAGCACAGAGCGAACUAUUCUUUCGCCUUUUACUAAAGAAUACCGUGUGCUCGUCACUUUGAGCGGCAUACGCCAACUUUUGGAAGGGUAUUCCUUGUUGAAUGCCCCCAUUCCAGUACUAGUACUAAAGGUUUCUUUAUUCUAGGAGCAAGCUUGUGUCCUUUGGAUAUGUUUUGGUACUAAAUAAAAUGUUGAGAAGCUUUCAAGUUAACAAGCGAAUAUCUGAAGUGUACUUCCUGAAGGUGUCUUUUGUCAUCUCUCCCUGUCCUCGUCUAUAAUUCUUCAUAUCUACCUUGUUAAAGCCAACUCAAGGAACAACCAUUUUUUUUAUAAUGCCACUGUCAUGUUUUUGAUUGGGGAAGAAAGGUGUAGGGCGUUGGGUGAGUGAGUCAACUAUUAUGUGCCAAAGUAUUAAUAAGAAAGGAUACGAGAUUUCCACUUUGGAACUUCUCCCUGGAUAGGGCGGACUCCCUGCUCUUCGUGCAUCAAAUUUACUUUUACCAGCAACGGAUUCCAUCAUUCUUCAUUAUCACUCCAUCAAAGCAGCUAACAUAGGAUAUUCCAUGGGAGUGGGACUACAACAAAAUUGCUGAUUGUGUUGUUAGAAUGACAUUUGAUACGAAACAUAGCUUAAAGGUGUUCACAGAAAUUUCAAGGGAGGUGCUAGCUAUUUCUGUUGUUGUUCAGGCAAAGAGAUAAUCUUUGCUCAAAGUCUUCUUGUAUAAUUAGCUUAGCUGCCAGCUUGUUUUUGCUUUAAAAAAAAAAAAAAAAACCUGUAUUCAAACUUUUACCUAAAAUAACAAAAUUUUUAACUUAAA